rnacentral:rRNA from 1 species
CCUACGGGGGGCAGCAGCGGGGGAUCUUGCGCAAUGGGCGAAAGCCUGACGCAGCGACACCGCGUGGGGGAAGAAGGCCUUCGGGUUGUAAACCCCUUUUCUCAGGGAUGAGUAAGGACAGUACCUGAGGAAUAAGCCUCGGCCAACUACGUGCCAGCAGCCGCGGUAAGACGUAGGAGGCAAGCGUUAUCCGGAAUUACUGGGCGUAAAGGGGAGGUAGGCGGCCCCUUAAGUUCGGGGUGAAAUCUUUCGGCUUAACCGAAAGGGGCCUCCGAAAACGGGGGGGCUUGAGGGCAGCAGAGGGAGGUGGAAUUCCCGGUGGAGCGGUGAAAUGCGUAGAUAUCGGGAGGAACAC